GACGAACGCUGGCGGCGUGCCUAACACAUGCAAGUCGAACGGGGUAAUGACUUCGGUUAUUACUUAGUGGCGAACGGGUGAGUAACGCGUGAGAAACCUGCCUUUCAGUGGGGGACAACAGUUGGAAACGACUGCUAAUACCGCAUAAUGUAUCGAUGGGGCAUCCUGUUGAUACCAAAGCUUUAUGUGCUGAAAGAUGGUCUCGCGUCUGAUUAGCUAGUUGGUGAGGUAACGGCUCACCAAGGCGACGAUCAGUAGCCGGUCUGAGAGGAUGAACGGCCACAUUGGGACUGAGAUACGGCCCAGACUCCUACGGGAGGCAGCAGUGGGGAAAAUUGGGCAAUGGGGGAAACCCUGACCCAGCAACGCCGCGUGAAGGAAGAAGGCCUUCGGGUUGUAAACUUCUUUUACCAGGGACGAAGAACGUGACGGUACCUGGAGAAAAAGCAACGGCUAACUACGUGCCAGCAGCCGCGGUAAUAC
rnacentral:rRNA from 1 species